AAAAAAAUGAUGACAGGGAAAAGUAGCUUUAAUGAACCAUUUAGGGAGAAAAUGCCGUAGACUGCAAGCAUUUUUAUGGGGAAUAAUGUGAAAUUCGCCCCUCGAGUUGCCAUUUGGACCAUGUUGUUGAGCAUGUAAAGAUGGAGCGGUGUAGAGCCGUUAUCGAAAUAAGUGAACAUAAUCAUACAUAAUUAUGUUAAGUAGGGUGGUACCGCGAUCAAACCUCGUCCCUUUU
rnacentral:ncRNA from 1 species